AUACACUAUAUAAAUCCAUAGAUAGAAGCAGGGCUCGCUCUGUUUAUACACUAUAUAAAUCCAUAGAUAGAUAGAAGCAGGGCUCGCUCUGUUUAUACACUAUAUCAAUCCAUAGAUAGAUAGAAGCAGGACUCGCUCUGUUUAUACACUAUAUAAAUCCAUAGAUAGAUAGAAGCAGGGAUCGCUCUGUUUAUACACUAUAUAAAUCCAUAGAUAGAUAGAAGCAGGGCUCGCUCUGUUUAUACACUAUAUAAAUCCAUAGAUAGAUAGAAGCAGG